rnacentral:miRNA from 1 species
UGUGUGUGUGUGUGGAUAUAUCUAUCUAUCUAUAUAUAUAUAGAUAGAUAGAUAUAUCCACACACACACACU